UUCAUUCGUUCAAUUCUGUCGCCAAUUUCUAACCUACUCGAAAUUUCUUUCAUUUCCAUCGAGUAGGUUAGGAAUUGGCGACAGAAUUGAACGAAUGAAAAAACGCGAAG
rnacentral:miRNA from 1 species